rnacentral:misc_RNA from 1 species
UUUUAACUUAUUACGUUAUUAUUAUUUUUGCUAAUUUGCCAUGAUAUUUUAUUUUUAUUUUGCUAAAAUUGAUGUUUUGUGUGGUAAAUAUUGAAGGUUGCAUGGAUGCGAAAAUCCAGCUUGUUUUCCUUGCUUAAAAUUCAAGCUCUAAUCAAUAACUAUCCAAUAAUUUUAGUGAUUUAAUCGUAGAAUUUGUUAUUUUAUUGAACUAUUUAAGUUUAUUUGAAUUAUGA